rnacentral:rRNA from 1 species
AACACAUGCAUGUAAGUCGAGCGAUGAGGCUCCUUCGGGAGUACAUCAGCGGCAGACGGGUGAGUAACACGUGGGCGACCUGCCCCCGAGACAGGGAUAACGUAUGGAAACAGACGCUAAAACCUGAUAGCCUCAGAGGGUCAAAGCUUUGAGGAAAACUACGGUGCUUGGGGAGGGGCCUGCGGCCAUCAGCUAGUUGGUAGGGUAACGGCCUACCAAGGCGAAGACGGGUAGGGGGUGUGAGAGCACGGCCCCCCACAAUGGGACUGAGACACGGCCUAUACUCCUACGGGAGGCAGCAGCAGGGAAUAUUGCACAAUGGACGAAAGUCUGAUGCAGCGACGCCGCGUGGAUGAAGACGGCCUUCGGGUUGUAAAAUCCUUUUAGUGGGGAAGAGGAAGGACGGUACCCACAGAAUAAGUGUCGGCUAACUACGUGCCAACAGCCGCGGUAAUACGUAGGACACGAGCGUUAUCCGGAUUUACUGGGCGUAAAGCGUCUGUAGGCGGUCAGUUAAGUUGGGCGUGAAAGCUCCGGGCUUAACCCGGAGAGGCCGUUCAAUACUGGCAGACUAGAGGGCGAGAGAGGGAGCGGAAUUCCUGGUGUAGCGGUAAAAUGCGCAGAUAUCAGGAGGAACACCAGUUGCGCAGGCGGCUCCCUGGCUCGCACCUGGCGCUGAGAGACGACAGCUAGGGGAGCGAACAGGAUUAGAGACCCUGGUAGUCCUAGCCGUAAACGCUGGAUGCUAAGUGUGGGACG